GACGAACGCUGGCGGCGUGCCUAAUACAUGCAAGUCGAGCGAAUGAUGAGGAGCUUGCUCCUCUGAUUUAGCGGCGGACGGGUGAGUAACACGUGGGCAACCUGCCCUGUAGACUGGGAUAACUUCGGGAAACCGGAGCUAAUACCGGAUAAUUCUUUUAGCCUCAUGGCUUUAAGCUAAAAGGCGCUUCGGCGUCACUACAGGAUGGGCCCGCGGUGCAUUAGCUGGUUGGUGGGGCAAUGGCCUACCAAGGCAACGAUGCAUAGCCGACCUGAGAGGGUGAUCGGCCACAUUGGGACUGAGACACGGCCCAAACUCCUACGGGAGGCAGCAGUAGGGAAUCUUCCACAAUGGACGAAAGUCUGAUGGAGCAACGCCGCGUGAGUGAUGAAGGUUUUCGGAUCGUAAAACUCUGUUGUAAGGGAAGAACAAGUGCGUUAGGUAAUGAACGCACCUUGACGGUACCUUAUUAGAAAGCCACGGCUAACUACGUGCCAGCCGCCGCCGUAA
rnacentral:rRNA from 1 species